rnacentral:rRNA from 1 species
GAUGAACGCUGGCGGCGUGCCUAAUACAUGCAAGUCGAGCGAACAGACGAGGAGCUUGCUCCUCUGACGUUAGCGGCGGACGGGUGAGUAACACGUGGAUAACCUACCUAUAAGACUGGGAUAACUUCGGGAAACCGGAGCUAAUACCGGAUAAUAUAUUGAACCGCAUGGUUCAAUAGUGAAAGACGGUUUUGCUGUCACUUAUAGAUGGAUCCGCGCCGCAUUAGCUAGUUGGUAAGGUAACGGCUUACCAAGGCAACGAUGCGUAGCCGACCUGAGAGGGGGGGAGGACACAAUGGAACAGAGACCGAAUCCGCACUAAGCAGGGCGGGAACCGUAGGGAAUCUUAAUAAAGGGGAGAAAACCGGACGAAGCAACAACGAGUGAGAGAUAAAUGUGUUAGGAUAGUAAAACUCUUGUAUGAGGGAAAAACAGAGGUGUAAGUAAAAAUGCACGGCUGCACGGGAACUAAUCAGCGGAAAAGCGACAGUGAAGAG